rnacentral:rRNA from 1 species
GACGAACGCUGGCGGCGUGCUUAACACAUGCAAGUCGAACGGAAAGGCCCUGCUUUUGUGGUGUGCUCGAGUGGCGAACGGGUGAGUAACACGUGAGUAACCUGCCCUUGACUUUGGGAUAACUUCAGGAAACUGGGGCUAAUACCGGAUAGGAGCUCCUGCUGCAUGGUGGGGGUUGGAAAGUUUCGGCUGUUGGGGAUGGACUCGCGGCUUAUCAGCUUGUUGGUGGGGGAGUGGCAUACCAAGGCUUUGACGGGUAGCCGGCAUGAGAGGGUGACCGGCCACAUUGGGACUGAGAUACGGAGCAGACUGCAACGGGAGGCAGCAGUGGGGAGUAUUGCACAGUGGGCGGACGCCUGAGGCAGAAACGCCGCGUGCGGGAUGACGGCCUUCGGGUUGUAAACCGCUUUCGCCUGUGACGAAGCGUGAGUGACGGUAAUGGGUAAAGAAGCACCGGCUAACUACGUG